rnacentral:lncRNA from 1 species
CGGCACUCCUCCUUCUCUGCUCCACCCCACCCUCAGGCUGAGCUCUGGCGCCAUGGAGGGGCUGGUUCCAGUCCUGUGCGCUUUGCUGAUGUCUGCGGAGUUUGCUGGCGGCAAGAAAGAGCCAGGUGUCAACUUGAGCUGUUACCAGUGUUUCAAAGCGGCCAGCCAGGCGCUGUGCACGCCCACCGUGUGCGACCCCAGCGACCGGGUCUGCGUGUCCAACACUGUGGUCCUUCUACGCAAAUCAAAGGCGACACUUUCUCUCAGCAAGCGCUGUGCUCCCAGGUGUCCCAACACCAACAUGAACUAUGAGUGGACACUGGGACCCAGGAUACUAGGCAGGAUCAUCCGGCGGUGCUGUUCUGGAAAUCUCUGCAACAGGGCACCCACCAUUCAGCAGGGUCCCUGGGCCCUUGGAAGGGGAUUCCUGCUCGCAGCGGGCCUCCUCUGGGUCCUGCUGUGAGCACCUUCCUCCUGGGCCGGCAGACCCACUAUAUCCUCCCACGUCCUGCCUCAGCCCUGCCCCCGUCCUUUUCAAGACACUGGGUGGGACCUUCCCACUCUGAGGUGGUGGAAAGGAUGCCAUUGCCUCUGUCCCAGACCUGGCCACUUCUCCCAUCUCCCGCAGGGGCCCUUUGUUCAACAGCCCAGAGAAGGUAGCCCAGUCCACCCGGAAGAGAAAGGGCAUCCCCAGUACGGGGCAAUGGCUCCCUGGAUAAGUUAGCUCACCCCAAGUACACUGUUCAGGGUCCCAGCGGGGGCAGGAAGAGCCUGGGCAAGGCCAGAGGGUGGCAGCAGCCUGGCCUCCGGCUCUGACUUGCCCUGGCUUGGACUGGGCCAGCCCCCCUUCCCCCUGGCCCGUCCCCUCUGCCCGUAGGGCCCAGGCAGAGUCAGGCUGUGGGUGUCCACCUGUGCGUUGAGACCAUGACCAUCACUCCCAGAGACAAUAAACUCAUGAUCUG